UGGGCUAUAGCCAAGCGGUAAGGCAACGGACUUUGACUCCGUGACUCGCUGGUUCGAAUCCAGCUAGCCCAGCCA
rnacentral:tRNA from 1 species